rnacentral:rRNA from 1 species
GUUGGGUAGGGGAGCGUUCUGUAAGCCUGCGAAGGUGUACUGUGAGGUAUGCUGGAGGUAUCAGAAGUGCGAAUGCUGACAUAAGUAACGAUAAUGCGGGUGAAAAACCCGCACGCCGGAAGACCAAGGGUUCCUGUCCAACGUUAAUCGGGGCAGGGUGAGUCGACCCCUAAGGCGAGGCUGAAAAGCGUAGUCGAUGGGAAACGGGUUAAUAUUCCCGUACUGGUGGUAACUGCGAUGGGGGAACGGAGAAGGCUAGGUUGUCCGGGCGACGGUCGUCCCGGUUCAAGCAGGUAGGCAGAGUGAUUAGGCAAAUCCGGUCACUUAAUGCUGAGAUGUGAUGACGAACCACUAAGGUGGUGAAGCAAUUGAUGCCCCGCUUCCAGGAAAAGCCUCUAAGCUUCAGGUUACCAACAAUCGUACCCCAAACCGACACAGGUGGUCAGGUAGAGAAUACUCAGGCGCUUGAGAGAACUCGGGUGAAGGAACUAGGCAAAAUGGUGCCGUAACUUCGGGAGAAGGCACGCUGGCGGUAGGUAAAGUCCCUCGCGGACGGCGCUGAAGCCAGUCGAAGAUACCAGCUGGCUGCAACUGUUUAUUAAAAACACAGCACUGUGCAAACACGAAAGUGGACGUAUACGGUGUGACGCCUGCCCGGUGCUGGAAGGUUAAUUGAUGGGGUUAGCGCAAGCGAAGCUCCUGAUCGAAGCCCCAGUAAACGGCGGCCGUAACUAUAACGGUCCUAAGGUAGCGAAAUUCCUUGUCGGGUAAGUUCCGACCUGCACGAAUGGCGUAAUGAUGGCCAGGCUGUCUCCACCCGAGACUCAGUGAAAUUGAACUCGCUGUGAAGAUGCAGUGUACCCGCGGCAAGACGGAAAGACCCCGUGAACCUUUACUAUAGCUUGACACUGAACAUUGAGCCUUGAUGUGUAGGAUAGGUGGGAGGCUUUGAAGUGUGGACGCCAGUCUGCAUGGAGCCAACCUUGAAAUACCACCCUUUAACGUUUGAUGUUCUAACCUAGGCCCAUAAACUGGGUCGGGGACCGUGUCUGGUGGGUAGUUUGACUGGGGCGGUCUCCUCCUAAAGAGUAACGGAGGAGCACGAAGGUUGGCUAAGCAUGGUCGGACAUCAUGCGGUUAGUGCAAAGGCAUAAGCCAGCUUGACUGCGAGAGUGACGGCUCGAGCAGGUACGAAAGUAGGUCUUAGUGAUCCGGUGGUUCUGAAUGGAAGGGCCAUCGCUCAACGGAUAAAAGGUACUCCGGGGAUAACAGGCUGAUACCGCCCAAGAGUUCAUAUCGACGGCGGUGUUUGGCACCUCGAUGUCGGCUCAUCACAUCCUGGGGCUGAAGUAGGUCCCAAGGGUAUGGCUGUUCGCCAUUUAAAGUGGUACGCGAGCUGGGUUUAGAACGUCGUGAGACAGUUCGGUCCCUAUCUGCCGUGGGCGUUGGAAGAUUGAGAGGGGUUGCUCCUAGUACGAGAGGACCGGAGUGAACGCACCACUGGUGUUCGGGUUGUCAUGCCAAUGGCAUUGCCCGGUAGCUAAGUGCGGAAGAGAUAACCGCUGAAAGCAUCUAAGCGGGAAACUUGCCUCGAGAUGAGUCUUCCCUGUCGCUUUAAGCGACCUAAAGGAACGUUUAAGACUAAGACGUUGAUAGGCUGGGUGUGUAAGCGUAGCGAUACGUUGAGCUAACCAGUACUAAUGAACCGUGAGGCUUAACCUG